CCUACGGGUGGCAGCAGUGAGGAAUAUUGGUCAAUGGACGAGAGUCUGAACCAGCCAAGUAGCGUGAAGGAUGACUGCCCUAUGGGUUGUAAACUUCUUUUAUAAAGGAAUAAAACGAGGCACGUGUGCCUUUUUGCAUGUACUUUAUGAAUAAGGAUCGGCUAACUCCGUGCCAGCAGCCGCGGUAAUACGGGGGAUGCGAGCGUGAUCCGGAUUUAAUGGGUUUAAAGGUAGCGUAGAUGGGUUGUUAAGUCAGUUGUGAAAGUUUGCGGAUCAACCGUAAAAUUCCAAUUGAUACUGGCAGUCUUGAGUACAGUUGAGGUAGGCGGAAUGCGUGGUGUAGCGGUGAAAUGCUUAGAUAUCACGAAGAACCCCGAUUGCGAAGGCAGCUUACCAAACUAUAUCGGACGUUGAGGCACGAAAGCGUGGGUAGCAAACAGGAUUAGAUACCCCUGUAGUC
rnacentral:rRNA from 1 species